AAAGUUUGAAUGCUUGGAGAAUUCAUCACAACUUUUUCUUUUUCCUUUUUUUUUUUGUUUCUAAUUUCUAUUUUUUUUCCGUUCUGCUUUUAUUUCUAAUUUUAUCUUUCAAGUUUUUAUUAUUAUUUAUAUCUAGUGGUAUAUAUAUCCUGGAUCGUUUACUUAUGCGUAUAGUCAACCACAAUUGGCAACACAUGAUAUAGCUAUAUAAUCUCAACCACUCCUCACUAGAUCUCAUCCUUGAAUCGAUCCUGAGGUGCAACGUCUUUAUAAUCAUACUAUCACUUCUUUCUGAAUAUUUGCUAAUAAGGAGAUUAAUACUCUGCAGGUUCUUUCUUGAUCAAGAAGAGGUACUGUCUCUAAAUUACAAUCUCUCUUAUUGACGCAGCACAAGCAAAUAGAUUUUCAAGCGAAUUCCUAAAGAAUAGUAAUCUGGAAUCUACCGAGAAUUUAGAGAGAAAUUCUCUUUGAAUUAUUUGAUAAAAUUGAGUUCCGUUCAACCAAGCAUGACGGCUGACUAAAUACAUCGAUCUCACCCAUUGGACUGCCCUGGGGAGUUAUUGAAAAUUUAACAGAAAAGAAACGGAAAGUUUGUAACUUGAAUACAUUCUUUAAAUGCACUUUUGGACGCCCAAACGACCUAAGCUCAAAAUCCACCAUAUAUCAUAGCUUUGCUGUGAGUUGGACUUGUGGCAUCGUUCCCUUUUCGAGAAGUUAUUAUGCAACCCAAUAGGAGCUCGGAUGCCAAAUCUUUAAAUUCCCGCUGCGUCCUUUUUUCUUCUUCGCUCCAAUUCUUCUUCAAUCCAUUUAGCCAUUUGUUCUACAUCAGCCC
rnacentral:lncRNA from 1 species